GAAUCAUGUCCCAUCUGUGUUUGACCAGCAGCAAUUAAGACACCUGCUUUAGAUUGAGGGCUAUUAAUAGAGUCUGAGUAAGUCUUAUGUUAGUGUUGUUAAAGUGUUGUAUGUGGUGUUGUAAAGUGCAGUGUUGUAGUGUGUGCUGUGAUGGUGGCAAAGAUGGUAUUGCUGCUGAAGAGCUACUGAAGUGGAACCGAAGAGAGGAAAGGGAUGUCAGAGUUUUAUAUUAUUUGGGUCAUUUCUUAAGUGAAAAUGAAUAAGUGUUUGCAGGAAUCAUGUCCCAUCUGUGUUUGACCAGCAGCAAUUAAGACACCUGCUUUAGAUUGAGGGCUAUUAAUAGAGUCUGAGUAAGUCUUAUGUUAGUGUUGUUAAAGUGUUGUAUGUGGUGUUGUAAAGUGCAGUGUUGUAGUGUGUGCUGUGAUGGUGGCAAAGAUGGUAUUGCUGCUGAAGAGCUACUGAAGUGGAACCGAAGAGAGGUUUGAAGACGGAGAGUCCAGAGACCACAGAGGUUAAAGCUUGAAGAUAAGAAAGCUUUGUUUUGCUGCUGAUAAAAGCAAAGGACUGUGUUUUGUAUGUUUUGUUUAUAUAAAUCUUUCUUUACCAAAGGACAGUUUUGUUUUGGAGUUAUUCUCCUUGGACGAGGGUGCAACUUCCACAAAAGGGGUUGAGAGUUUGGAACCCAAUUGGCUAGCUGCGACAUGGGUUAUGGGCCCAGAACCAGAACCACCAGAAGAACCAGCACCAGUCCUGUUGUUUAGGAGAACCUGAAGGACUCUAAAACCCAGAACUCCUAAAGACUGUCAAGGUUGUAUUUGUUGAAAGAAAGAUUUUUUGAAAAAAAAUGUCUCUGAGCGGGAGUGGUGGUUUGCCACUGGAGAGACUAAAUUCUUCAAAUUACUCAUCGUGGGCAGUGAAACUAAAGUAUUUUCUCAUUAGAGAAAGCUUGUGGAAUGUUGUGGAGAAUCCUCUGGCAGCUGGGGUGAAUGCAGCGGAACUCAGAAAUG
rnacentral:lncRNA from 1 species